UUCCAGACUCCUACGGGAGGCAGCAGUGGGGAAUAUUGCACAAUGGGGGAAACCCUGAUGCAGCGACGCCGCGUGAGUGAAGAAGUAUUUCGGUAUGUAAAGCUCUCUCAGCAGGGAAGAAAAUGACGGUACCUGACUAAGAAGCCCCGGCUAACUACGUGCCAGCAGCCGCGGUAAUACGUAGGGGGCAAGCGUUAUCCGGAUUUACUGGGUGUAAAGGGAGCGUAGACGGCAUGGCAAGUCAGAUGUGAAAGCCCGGGGCUCAACCCCGGGACUGCAUUUGAAACUGUCAGGCUGGAGUGCAGGAGAGGUAAGUGGAAUUCCUAGUGUAGCGGUGAAAUGCGUAGAUAUUAGGAGGAACACCAGUGGCGAAGGCGGCUUACUGGACGGCAACUGACGCUGAGGCUCGAAAGCGUGGGGAGCAAACAGGAUUAGAUACCCCAGUAA
rnacentral:rRNA from 1 species